AGCUAUCCAUAACAGAGUAAUUGUUCAACUAUCACCACAGUGAAAACUGAAAAAUGGACGAAGUCGUAAUGACGAAACGUGUUGGAACGUCGCUGUACGGCAACCGGAAAUGACGCAACACGCAGUACCAGAAGUGACGUUCCAGCGGAGUAAACAUCUGUCGGGUUUGACACUGCCUACUAUAUGCUGGGUCUGCCGUGACCAUGAUAUACCAACUUAUUACUGAGUUUUGUAUGCGAUUACUAACAGUGCUAAAUGUAAGUGCAAUAUUUGCAGAUUUUUAUUUAUUUUAUUAAGUUUGUGUUUAAACGUUAUUGCACGAUUGGAAUUUUUUCUUUUGUCUCACAUACAUGGAAGAUCUGGGAGUCACCAUUAAAGACUGGAGAUCGGUGCUGAUUUGUCCUCAACCCUGAGGGGCACAUUGCUUGAUUUGCCGAGCAUGAGAAUGUGACGCAAUUAUUGUUGUAAGCACAAGAAGGGCAUAUUAAGAUCAAGAGGAAGGCAGCAAUGGAUCAACUGGUGGAAUUGGUGAAGCCACUGUACCCCAGGGCAGACAUCAAUUAUAUAAAGAGCAAAAUUGGGAACCUGAGGAGUGCAUACAAUAGGGAGCACAAGAAGGUCAUGGACUCCGAGAUCGGGAGCAGAAGCAGAUGACAUACAUGUCCCCAGGCUGUGGUACUACAACAGUCUGCGAUUUUUGACAGACCCGACCGAACCAUGCCCAUCGCUCUCCACACUUCUUUCCACAUCAGCUGAGGCCAUUUAGUUUCUUGUGCAUUCAGAAUAAAAAUAAUUAGUAGACA